UCUCUGCUGGUACGUACGCUACUGUCCUUCGGAGUAUCUCGCGUCGGUGGUUCUUAAAUCUAUAGAGUUUUCAAAAUGCAAGCCUGACAACAAAGAUCUGGUUAAUUCCGUUGAGUGGCGCUAGGCGAGCCUCUUAGCAGGGCCAGAGCAGCUCGCGCGUUGUUGUUCGCGUCUCACCGCAGCGUCCUGCGUCAGUCGCGCAGCGAGUCUAUCUCUUUCUCUCUGUCUGUCUGUCUGUCUGUCUCUGCUCGAAGGGCGUCGUUCGUUGGCUUACUUUCUCCGGCCGAUUUCGGUAUCUGCAAUUGAAGCUGCAAUUUUGUUGCAAUGAUCGUCGCUGGUGGUAGCACGUGCCGCUGGUGGUACAACGUGUACGCGCUUUUGACGAUAUUCCUGUUGCUGGUAGAAACAGGGCAUAGCAUCCGAUGUUAUCAAUGCAAUAGCACCAGCAACGAUUACCCGUUCCAGUGUAACGAGGUUCUGUCGGGCGACGUGGAUUUGCAGCCGAAAGCGUGCGAUGACGUUUACGGGGCGCAAUAUUGCGUUAAGCACACAGGCCGUUUCGAGGCGGUCACUCUGGAUUGCUACCAAUGCACAUCAGAGGAUGAAUGGAAAUGUAUGGAUGGUGAAUUGGUUGAAAAUUCCCUGAUGCCGACCAAUUGCAGUCAUAUUUAUGGAGCACGUUAUUGCAUCAAAUCGGUCGGCCGUUACGGAGGUUCUUAUCAAGUCAAGUUUCGCUUUCGUAGGUGCAGAAAUGCCCCAGAUAGGAUAGAAAAGGAGACCACAGGUGCAGGAAAUAAACAAACAGCGCGACACAGCGUUGUUGCAGCGUUGUAUAUUGUUGAUGACUCCUCAGAUGAAGAUUUUAUUUUACCAUACUGUCCACAUCUCUGUUACACGCAAAAUCUCUCUGAGAUGAAGAACAUGAUGGGAAUAUACUGUUACUUCAUAAUGGCAUAAUUGAUUAUAUAUAAUAUUAGUAAAGUAAAAACUGCACAAGUAUCUAACAGCCUGUGGCAUCGGUACAAAACGAUUUUGCUCAGCUGUACACAUGGGAGAUUAUUGCGACUACGUAAAACAGCCAGGCGACAAGUUGACAUAUCGCACCUGCGUGUUCACGUGUUCCAGCGACGGUUGCAAUCCAGCGUCGUCCUUAAUGCC
rnacentral:misc_RNA from 1 species